CAGUGUGUUUGUGUAGCUAGCAGCAGCCCAGUCAGAUGUUAGUGUGUUAGUGUGUUGGGCCGAUCGCGAUAUUAGUUCCGGCGUCCGAGUCAAGCGUGUACAUGUUGAGCCGAGCAGCCGCAGCAACGAGGCGGCUGCUACGACUUAAUGUCGGGCUGGCG